rnacentral:rRNA from 1 species
GACGAACGCUGGCGGCGUGCUUCAUACAUGCAAGUCGAACGAGAAUUCACCUUCGGGUGGAGGAAAGUGGCGGACGGGUGAGUAAUGUGUAGAGAAUCUACCCUAGAGAGGGGGACAACAGCUGGAAACGGUUGCUAAUACCCCAUAUGAGGUAACUUGAAAUAGUUAUCUUGAAAACUCCGGUGCUCUGGGAUGAGUCUGCAUCUGAUUAGCUAGUUGGGGGUGUAAUGGACCACCAAGGCGACGAUCAGUAGCUGGUUUGAGAGGAUGAUCAGCCACAAUGGGACUGAGACACGGCCCAU